rnacentral:rRNA from 1 species
UACGUAGGGGGCAAGCGUUGUCCGGAUUUAUUGGGCGUAAAGAGCGCGCAGGCGGUCGUAUAAGUCGAAUGUGAAAGCCCCCGGCUCAACUGGGGAGGGUCAUUCGAUACUGUUCGACUCGAAGGCAGGAGAGGGAAGUGGAAUUCCGGGUGUAGUGGUGAAAUGCGUAGAUAUCCGGAGGAACACCAGUGGCGAAGGCGACUUUCUGGCCUGUUCUUGACGCUGAGGCGCGAAAGCUAGGGGAGCAAACGGG